rnacentral:rRNA from 1 species
AGGAAAAGAAACCAACAGGGAUUGCCCUAGUAACGGCGAGUGAAGCGGCAACAGCUCAAAUUUGAAAUCUGGCGCAAGCCCGAGUUGUAAUUUGUAGAGGAUGCUUCAGGGCAGCGGCCGGUCUAAGUUCCUUGGAACAGGACGUCAUAGAGGGUGAGAAUCCCGUAUGCGACCGGUUGGCACCCGUCACGUAGCUCCUUCGACGAGUCGAGUUGUUUGGGAAUGCAGCUCUAAAUGGGAGGUAAAUUUCUUCUAAAGCUAAAUACCGGCCAGAGACCGAUAGCGCACAAGUAGAGUGAUCGAAAGAUGAAAAGCACUUUGGAAAGAGAGUUAAAAAGCACGUGAAAUUGUUGAAAGGGAAGCGCAUGCAACCAGACUUGUCGGCGGUGUUCCGCCGGUCUUCUGACCGGUCUAUUCGCCGCCGGCAGGCCAGCAUCAUCUGGGCGCGCCGGAUAAAGGCGUGGGGAAUGUAGCUCCUCGGAGUGUUAUAGCCCUGCGCACAAUACGGCGCCGCCCGGGUGAGGUCCGCGCUUCGGCUAGGAUGCUGGCGUAAUGGUUGUCUGCGGCCCGUCUUGAAACACGGACCAAGGAGUCUAACAUCUAUGCGAGUGUUCGGGUGUCAAACCCCUACGCGUAAUGAAAGUGAACGGAGGUGGGAAGCGCAAGCUGCACCAUCGACCGAUCCUGAUGUCUUCGGAUGGAUUUGAGUAAGAGCAUAGCUGUUGGGACCCGAAAGAUGGUGAACUAUGCCUGAAUAGGGUGAAGCCAGAGGAAACUCUGGUGGAGGCUCGCAGCGGUUCUGACGUGCAAA